UACGGAGGAUCCAAGCGUUAACCGGAAUUAUUGGGCGUAAAGCGUCCGCAGGCGGUUUGCCAAGUUGAUUAUGAAAUACCGACGCUCAACGUCGGUGCUGUAGUCAAAACUGGUAAACUAGAGGUAUGGAGAGGUGCGUGGAAUUGUGCAAGUAGGGGUAAAAUCCGUAGAUAUGCACAGGAACACCAAAAGCGAAGGCAGCGCACUGGCCAUUAUCUGACGCUCAGGGACGAAAGCGUGGGGAGCGAAAGGG
rnacentral:rRNA from 1 species